UGGGGAAUUUUGGACAAUGGGCGCAAGCCUGAUCCAGCCAUGCCGCGUGAGUGAAGAAGGCCUUCGGGUUGUAAAGCUCUUUCGGCGGGGAAGAAAUCGCAUUCUCUAAUACAGGAUGUGGAUGACGGUACCCGAAUAAGAAGCACCGGCUAACUACGUGCCAGCAGCCGCGGUAAUACGUAGGGUGCGAGCGUUAAUCGGAAUUACUGGGCGUAAAGCGUGCGCAGGCGGUUUCGUAAGACAGACGUGAAAUCCCCGGGCUCAACCUGGGAACUGCGUUUGUGACUGCGAGGCUAGAGUUUGGCAGAGGGGGGUGGAAUUCCACGUGUAGCAGUGAAAUGCGUAGAGAUGUGGAGGAACACCGAUGGCGAAGGCAGCCCCCUGGGCCAAUACUGACGCUCAUGCACGAAAGCGUGGGGAGCAAACAGG
rnacentral:rRNA from 1 species